UAGCUGAUGUUCAGCUCUCAGCACUCUGACUAAAAGGAGUGUAAUACUUCCAUUAUCUUUCCUGUCACCAUCCCGCUUGGGUGUUGGUAAGAGCUGAGCUUUGAAUGAAAAGAAAAAAGAGUUCCUAAUUAAGCAUAAAAAUAAAUUAGCACAGAAGCUAUUACCUUCUUAGCAAUUAGCACAGGAGAGAGCAAAUUGUAGCAAAUUCUGGUAUUCUGAUUUUUUUCCCCUAAACAUUCUCUUGGCUGCCUGAGUUUUACCCACCAGCACGGUCCCAACAGCCAGGCAGAUACCUCACACAGUGAGGAGCUAGGAAAUGAUUCACAGCAUUCACUUUGCCAGGGAAUUUUCUGAAUAACAAAAUCCGAGUGGGAACAGCACUAAGCAACCAAACUCUCAAAGCUUUAAAUUAAAAACUAUCAGAGGCUAUUUAGGACUAGGACAGAAAUAGGAGGAAGUAAAAGGAAAAUUAUGCAGAAAAGGCUCUCGGUGCGUGAAGCACCUGAGACAAGGAAGUUACUCUUUUACCACCAUAUGAAGUACUGAACAAAUCUUGAGAGUGAAUUUCAUGCCUCUUACCAGUUGCCAGUGAAAGUGCCCCCUGAAUUGCCUGCUGGUAACUGUCCUGCAGAAUUGGCACCAGCAACCUCCAAGCAAGCUCUUCCCACACUCAUGUGCCAAUAGGUCUGGAAAAGGUGGAUUAUUUAUUUCCAAGAGAACAUCAUAAAUCACCAGGUGUCACUGAGAAAGUGAUGGAGAAUACACAAUUCCAGUUUUGGACAGAAAGAAUCUGUCCAACACUGCAAGAGAUCUUUCAAAGCAUGCAAAGUUUUCUAUGAAUUGAGAAAUGAAGACAAUGGGGUCACAGAAACUCCAGGGCAUCAGAAAUCCAGUGCCAGAGCAGUAGCCCCACAAGAAAUAAAUCCUGCGCUUCUGACUCUUCAAGACAUGUCUCUGAAGCAUCUAGUGCUGGGGUGCUGUAACUCACAUGGAAAGAGAAGCAUGGACUACCUCUGUCAGGGUCCCACAUCAACCCAGCCUCCUGAGCUACACUCACUCAUGAAUUCUCCAGUCACCAGAGGAGAGACUUCCUUGCAUCACACGUAAAUACAGUAUGUGCGGUCCAGCCAAGGGAGCCCCAUUAGAAAUAAGCCACCAUCCUUCUGUGGAAUCUGGCUCAAAGGUGACCAGGUGUUGUACUUGGCUCCAAAUAUUUAGACUCUUUUAACAAACGGUACUAUUUGGACUCAGAUUUGACUUAAAACCAUAUAAUUUUUGCAUCAGUUUUUCCAGUUGAAAUUAUACAUGUUCUAUGAAAAUGCUUUCUUCUGUAAAUACUGCAUUUUUCUCCCUCCUUAAGUAGCAAAGUACUAAAGUAUUUUUCAAGAAGCUGAUAUAACUACAGUGAUGAUAUAUCUCUCAUUAAGAACUGAUACUAUUAAUUUACAUGGCUUCAUUUUUCUGUGUAAUGGUGAACAUUUGUUUGGGUUUUUUUAACUCUAAGUAGCUAAAUAAAGACUUACUCCUUGGACUAAUGCAGAUAAAGAAGCAGUCUCUUAAUCUGGAAAGGAAUUACUAGAAUGUAGAAGCAAGAAAUUACCUUUGUAUAAUUUCUCAAAAAGCUACAUAGGUACAGAUUAUCUGUAAAUACUUGGAAGUUUUGGUAUUAACAACCAUUCUGGUGCUGCAUGAAGACAAGAAUUUUUGCCACUGUUUUUCUUCCUCUUCUAUAACAAAUCUGUGAAGUAAUUUUUCAGAAUGGUUGGUAUUACUGCAACUCAAAGCUUAAAGAUACUAUAAUGAAACUUGAAUUUCUCCAUUUGUGCUAAUACACUUACAGUAGUGAAAACCACAACCAGCAAUUUUUGCUUUAUUUUGUACUACAAUUAAGUUGGAUGAAAAUGUUUUCCAAUGUAAGACCUUCCAAGUGCCACUAUGUACAAGUAACUAAACUGAAUAUGAAUCAAUAAAUUGAUCUUCCCAGGAAACAGUA